rnacentral:miRNA from 1 species
GGUUUCUCUGUGUAGCCCUGGCUGUCCUGGAACUCACUCUGUAGACCAGGCUGGCCUCGAACUCAGAAAUUCACCUGCCUCUGCCUCCCAAGUGCUGGGAUUAAAGGCAUGCGCCACCAUGCCCG